CACGUAGGGUGCGAGCGUUGUUCGGAAUUACUGGGCGUAAAGCGCGCGCAGGCGGCUCUUUAAGUCUCGUGGUCAAAUGCCGGGGCUCAACCCCGAGCGUGCCGGGGAUACUGGAGGGCUGGAGACAGGUAGAGGCAAGCGGAAUUCCGGGUGUAGCGGUGGAAUGCGUAGAGAUCCGGAAGAACACCGGAGGCGAAGGCGGCUUGCUGGGCUGACACUGACGCUGAGGCGCGAAAGCUAGGGGAGCGAACGGG
rnacentral:rRNA from 1 species